UGAGUGGGUGUUUUCGUUUGGCAGAAUAAGGGUUCAGCACACAGUCUCCUCCGUCACCCAUCGUCGCUCUCUGUCGUGUCGUUCACGCGCAACUCUAACGGAGUGUGAUCUCAUAUUCACUGCAUUGAGCCAAUCGAAGUAGCAUCUCUCUUUCAUUCCUUAAUUUCAAGGAAGCACCAUCCUUGCAGCUCUAGACAUUAUCAAUUAAGAUGGAGCCAAAGUGGAAAAGAGAAAUGCUUAAUGAAAGAGAAGAAAAAGUGGAUAGACUAAGCAUGUUGCCUGACUCCAUUUUGUUGUACAUUAUGACAUCUUUGACAACAAAAGAAGCUGUUCAUACUUGUAUCUUGGGCAAAAGAUGGAAGCACCUCUGGAAAUAUCUUCCAACUUUGAUAGCUAGUAAUGAACAUUUUGAGAGGGCUGAAUUUUUCAAGAGGUUUAUUUGUAAGGUUUUGCAGCAUCGUGAUGAUCACAGUGCCUUCCAUAAUAUUGCUAUUGAUCAUAAUGGUUAUAUUCAUUCUCAAAUUUCGGAGAAGAUCGUCAGUUAUGCUGUAUCACAUAGUGUCAAGCAAUUUACAUUUGAUGCCUGCUUACGAAGUAAGGGUGCAAGAAAUGCUCUGGUUUUUGGCCCUAUAUUUUCCAUUCGCUCUCUAAAAUAUCUUGACGUAUCAUUUCGCAAAUCCAAUUGGUUGAUAAAGCUUCCACAUGCUCUAGACCUUCCGGAGUUGGAGAAAUGUCGUUUGAAAUAUGUUGCAUUUUCUUCAAAUGAUGAUGAUGAUGAUGAUGAUGAUUUUGUGAAGCCAUUUUCACUCUGCAAGAAGUUGAGUACUUUAGUGAUUGACAAUUGCAACAGUGCAAAGGCCCUUUGUGUAUCUGGUGAUAAACUCACUAAUCUAACCAUGCGUUUUGGUAAAUAUAUUCUUGAUCCUUUCAAAGCUCAGGUUUCUGCUCCCAAUCUGAAGUCAUUUACUUUUGUGGGUCGUCUUAGUUCCAGAAAUAACCAUCAACUCUUUGAGCACAAUUUAGAUUUUCUUGAAGAAGCAUGCAUUGAAGCUUUGUGCUUUAGAUCUCAUCUGAAGAUUUGUGAAAGGACUUUGAAUAGUUGGAUGAAAAGGUUUUGUAAUGUACGCUCAUUGACAAUUUGUGCCAAAACUCUAAAGGAUCUUGCUUCAACCCUUGGUCUUCCGAAUUUUGAACCUGCUCGUUUUGCCAACUUAAGGUCAUUGAUAGUGAAACAUGAUUGUGGAAUACCUGUACUGGAUCAAGAAUUGGAAUACAUACUGCAAAACUCUCCACUUGCAGAAACUAUGAUCAUUCAAGCGACACCAUCCUAUCAAGAAAUGUUUGAGUUGCUGUAAAUAAUCCUUUGUUGAUGAUAAACUGAAAACAUAGCUAAGAUUUUUGCAGUUGAUCAAGCUUAAAUUGAGAAAGUGCUACAAAUAACUGACCAUGAGUGAAGACAAGUCUUGGAAGAAAAAGUCAGACUUAAGACAAUGUUUGUCUUAACUUUUGUUUAUGGUGAUUGCAAAGGACGCUGGAAUUGGAAAUUGUAUUCUCUGAAAUUUAAAUAAAAGUUGGGGAUAUGAAAGAUGUAUAGUUUGUCCCCAAUCUUUGUUUAUGUUAUAACGGUUGCUCUAAUAAUAUUUUUUCCAUAUUCAUAGGAAAUGCAUAAAAACCAAGUAGUAAAUUAUAGGGAAUCAUAGGAAAAAUCAUGCAAAUUAUGUGUGAAUCAUCAUCACCACCACAAUAACCUCCACUGUCGCCUUCAUCACCGAUGCUAGCACCACCGUCGCCGCCACCCUCCAACACCACCGUCUCCACCAUUGCCACCAUUUGGUAACAACAAUCUCUACAACCACUGCUACCUACCCCCUCCAUUAUCUUGUUGGUGCCUACUACUUAUUGUCAUGGAUUUACAAAGUUGAUAAUUGUUAUGUCUAUUGUAGAUUUAUAAUGUUGUCAACAACUUUUUAAAACGAUUUUUAAAAACGGGAAAAUUGAGUAAAGAGGGUGGGGAAUUGAAGGACUUGCAACCAGAUUGAUCCAUUGAUUUUAAAAUUCGAAGGCUUGGAUUAAAUUAAAGAGAGAGAUUAUUCUAUUAGGCUCAGGUGAAGCGGUUGGAGAGGAUCCAAAUCCGGAAUUUAAUUCGUUUUUGGCUCUAACACACGCAACCCCUCCUUAAGUGGGCUCGUACAGGUUUCGCUCACAUUAAGCCACUCA